GACGAACGCUGGCGGCGUGCUUAACACAUGCAAGUCGAACGCUGAAGCUUGGUGCUUGCACUGGGUGGAUGAGUGGCGAACGGGUGAGUAAUACGUGAGUAACCUGCCCUUGACUCUGGGAUAAGCCUGGGAAACUGGGUCUAAUACUGGAUACGACAUGCCACUGCAUGGUGGUGUGUGGAAAGGGUUUUACUGGUUUUGGAUGGGCUCACGGCCUAUCAGCUUGUUGGUGGGGUAAUGGCCUACCAAGGCGACGACGGGUAGCCGGCCUGAGAGAGUGACCGGCCACACUGGGACUGAGACACGGCCCAGACUCCUACGGGAGGCAGCAGUGGGGAAUAUUGCACAAUGGGCGGAAGCCUGAUGCAGCGACGCCGCGUGAGGGAUGACGGCCUUCGGGUUGUAAACCUCUUUCAGCACGGAAGAAGCGAGAGUGACGGUACGUGCAGAAGAAGCGCCGGCUAACUACGUG
rnacentral:rRNA from 1 species